rnacentral:rRNA from 1 species
AGUUCACAUCGACGGGGAGGUUUGGCACCUCGAUGUCGGCUCAUCGCAUCCUGGGGCUGUAGUCGGUCCCAAGGGUUGGGCUGUUCGCCCAUUAAAGCGGUACGCGAGCUGGGUUCAGAACGUCGUGAGACAGUUCGGUCCCUAUCCGUCGUGGGCGUAGGAAAUUUGAGAGGAGCUGUCCUUAGUACGAGAGGACCGGGAUGGACAUACCUCUGGUGUACCAGUUGUCGUGCCAACGGCAUAGCUGGGUAGCUAUGUAUGGACGGGAUAAGUGCUGAAAGCAUCUAAGCAUGAAGCCCCCCUCAAGAUGAGAUUUCCCAACUUCGGUUAUAAGAUCUCUCGAAGAUGACGAGGUUAAUAGGUUCGAGGUGGAAGCGUGGUGACACGUGGAGCUGACGAAUACUAAUCGAUCGAAGACUUAAUCAAUUUUUAAA